CCUACGGGUGGCAGCAGUGAGGAAUAUUGGUCAAUGGCCGGAAGGCUUAACCAGCCAUGCCGCGUGAAGGUCAGUGCCCUAUGGGCGGUAAACUUCUUUUGUACGGGAGCAAGAAUGGUCACGUGUGGCCAGACGAGAGUACCGUACGAAUAAGCAUCAGCUAAGUCCGUGCAAGCAGCAGCGGUGAUACGGGGGAUGCAAGGGUGAUCCGGAUUUAUUGGGUUUAAAGGGUGAGUAGGCGGAGGGGUAAGUCAGCGGUGAAAGGCCCCCGCUCAACGGGGUGAAGUGCCAUUGAUACUGCCUUGCUGGAAUGCGGAUGCCGUGGGAGGAAUG
rnacentral:rRNA from 1 species